rnacentral:rRNA from 1 species
UUGUCCUGUGACUGCGUACCUUUUGUAUAAUGGGUCAGCGACUUAUAUUCAGUGGCAAGGUUAACCAUCUAGGGGAGCCGUAGGGAAACCGAGUCUUAACUGGGCGUUCAGUCUCUGGAUAUAGACCCGAAACCAGGUGAUCUAGCCAUGGGCAGGUUGAAGGUUGAGUAACAUCAACUGGAGGACCGAACCGACUAAUGUUGAAAAAUUAGCGGAUGACUUGUGGCUAGGGGUGAAAGGCCAAUCAAACCUGGAGAUAGCUGGUUCUCCCCGAAAGCUAUUUAGGUAGCGCCUCGGACGAAUACUACUGGGGGUAGAGCACUGUUAAGGCUAGGGGGUCAUCCCGAC